UGAGCACUGUUUCUGUUUUUCUCUCUCCUGAUCAGAGCCUGCAAAUAUGAUGGAACAAGAGAAGACAUGCCAGGAUUUGGAGACUAAGACUUGCCCAGAGGCGAACUCAGGAUUUUCCGAUCUCCAGCCUGUGUCGAAUCUUCAGAUUGAGCCAGGGGAAGAGGCUUUGAUUCCGGAGGAAAAAGCUGAGGAAGAAUCAUAGAAUCAUAGAAUAGCAGAGUUGGAAGGGGCCUACAAGGCCGUCAAGUCCAACCCCCUGCUCAAUGCAGGAAUCCACCCUAAAGCAUCCCUGACAGAUGGUUGUCCAGCUGCCUCUUAAAUGCCUCUAGGGUGGGAGAGCCCACAACCUCCCUAGGUUUUCCUAAUGUGACAGUAAAGAUGGAAGAAGACAAGCCAGGGCUUCCCCCUGCUCAUGAAGGCUCAGAGACAAGCGAGGC